rnacentral:rRNA from 1 species
UUCCUACGGGUGGCUGCAGUCGAGAAUCUUCGGCAAUGGACGAAAGUCUGACCGAGCGACGCCGCGUGCGGGAUGAAGGUCUUCGGAUUGUAAACCGCUGUCAGAGGGGAUGAAGUAUACGAGAGCUAUCUCUUGUAUUUGACAGAGCCUCAGAGGAAGCACGGGCUAAGUUCGUGCCAGCAGCCGCGGUAAUACGAACUGUGCGAACGUUAUUCGGAAUCACUGGGCUUAAAGGGUUCGUAGGUGGUUUUCUAAGUCACGUGUGAAAUCUUCUGGCUCAACCAGAAAACUGCGCGUGAUACUGGAGAACUUGAGUGAGGUAGGGGUGUGUGGAACUUCCGGUGGAGCGGUGAAAUGUGUAGAGAUCGGAAGGAACGCCAGCAGCGAAAGCGGCACACUGGGCCUUUUCUGACACUGAGGCACGAAAGCUAGGGGAGUGAACGGGAUUAGAUACCCCAGUAGUCUG